AAAAAAAAUACCAAGGAGCCACCGCCAGAUGAUCAUCAAAUUCAUAAAUGAAAACUAUACAUCUCAGCAAUUCAGCGAAAAUACAUUAACGACUUUAAAGAAUAGCCAAUUGUCAACCAAGAGAGACUAACAGGCCAAUAAAAAACAGAUAAAACACAAUUAAUUGAAGGGCAUGAGGAAAAGAAAAAGAAAACAAUAAAAUAGAGUUAGAAGAUUUGAAGUUCAUGCAUAUCUUUUGCUACAUAGUAUUACUAUUACCUGAUUGGCCAACAACUUGGGCAAUUCUUCUUGGCCUUAUGAUCACACUAUGAACAGACAAGUUGGACUCAAAUGAGAAAAGUGCAAGAGUUUCUAAUUAUGCUAGCAAACUCAUGAUGAGGACUGAAACCAGGAGAGCAGUGAGUCUUUGGUUCUCUGGAAAAAAAUGUAGAUAAAUGAAAACUACUGUACUCUUAACAGCAUUGCAGCUAUUAUGUGAUAGCUAACUAGCUAUAAUGAUCCAUUACACAAUAUGACAAAGAACUUGCAAUAUGACUAGAAAAAACAAGCAAAUCACAUUCCACAAAGAUGAUGAAAACAUGGAGAAGCUACAAAAGUUCUGACAGUGUACGUUAUGGACAAUUUCCUUGUUACCAAGAAAAAAAAAAUGCACUAACAAAUUUACAAAGACAUGAGAAUGAUAAGCCCAAAACAUCCAUUAGUAGGCUGUGAAAACUGACUUGGACUAUUGCCAAAUGAGAGCAAGAAGAACACAAAAACCAAUAAACAAAAGUAGCCUCUUCAGAUAAUAAUCUUGCUGUCCUUGCCCCUGGUGCUGAGGAUAUCCAUAUGCAUGGCCGCCAUGAAAAGAAUUAGAGAACCCAUAUGGAAAGCCAGCAGCCGCACCAUACAUGGCAGCAUCAGGAAAUCCAUACAACUGAAGGUUAAAAAGUGAAGGGAUGAGACCACCAAAAGCUGCAGACAAUGUAAAAUUCCCAAAUCUAGCUGUUGCCAUUGGUGCAAAUCCUCCUAACCCUCCCAUGAAUCCAAAUCCACGUUGGGCAAAAUGAUUUGGUUCUGGUGGAGGGGCUGUUUCAGGCCUCUGCCCGGCUGGGCGGUUAGGAAUGUUAACACCAGGUAUUGACUUUGAUCUAGGAUCAGUUGACGUUUUACCCCUACCAUAUAGGGGAACCAAUUUCUCCUCCUGGACCAAAGCCUUACAAACGGGGCAUUCCUUAGAUUGUGAGUGAAAGUGGAGCCAUUUGUAAAGACAAGGCCAGCAGAAAAGAUGGCCACACAAAGUUACUAUGGGGUCUUGAGCUAAGUCAAAGCAAAUAUUGCAUUCAAAGUUACCAGCGUCACCAUUAGUGUUGUUGCUAGAAAAUGGGGGGUUUUGGGGUGGCCUGCUUGUUGAUUCCCCAAACCCACUUGCCAUCUCUGGACGAUUACCCCAAUCAAAUGCCUGUAAAUGACAUACGAAAUUAAAUCAACACCAGCAACAACAAUAAUAAUCUGGCAUCAAAAUUGAAGACUGAACAAUUGGAAACUGCAAUACCAUUACCAAAUCGUCCUGAGUACAACAGUCUAUUUAAACUUGCAGAUCUUAAAUAUGAGUUCUAAACCAAGAACUGUCCAUACAAGAGUAUCCUUGAAACAGUCACAGAAAUGGAACAUCUUAUAAUAGCAAGGAACUCUAUGGCUCCAUUUCCAACGGUAAAAUAUGCCAAACACAAAAGGGCAAGAGGAGUUAUCCAGGGCGGAUUUCUGCAAUUUGAAUUCUAUAGUCUUGUCAUUUCUAAUAACCAAACGGUUCAUUAGAGUUGAAAAGUAGUAUUUACCGGGAGAAAAAAAAAAUCAACAUUUAAAGCCACCAAAUUAGAAUCAAAACUCCAAAAAUCCAACAAAUUCAAAACACAAAAUCCUCAGAUCUCUCCCCCUCUCUCUCCAAAAUCGCAAUUGCGUGGGACAUGUAACGACUUGAUUGAAGGCAAUUACUUCUAGAAGAUCGAGGCAAUAAUUAACAAAUGAAAGAUUCUUAUCCAAAAGCAAAACUGAAUCCAGAAAUUCAAACAGAAAAUUUUAUUAUAAUAAGAACGAUAACAAUAAGAGAUUGAG
rnacentral:misc_RNA from 1 species